CUGAACCAAGCCUACACCUCUACUUCCCUUGCCACCCCUCACUAUUGGUCAUGUUUUAACAUUUGCUGAGUCAGAAUAAAUAAGCCCAUCAUUCCAACCUACUGACACCCUUUUGUGCACCAGUUAUGUUAUCCGACAUGUUAGCCAUUUCCCAGCUUUAUCAUCUACAAAUAUGAAAAGGUCACCCCCUCAAGCACCUAGGAAGCCUUGUUAGGGCUCUGAGUUGAGCCUG